GAUGAACGCUGGCGGCGUGCCUAAUACAUGCAAGUCGAGCGAACAGACGAGGAGCUUGCUCCUCUGACGUUAGCGGCGGACGGGUGAGUAACACGUGGAUAACCUACCUAUAAGACUGGGAUAACUUCGGGAAACCGGAGCUAAUACCGGAUAAUAUAUUGUACCGCAUGGUUCAAUAGUGAAAGACGGUUUUGCUGUCUCUUAUAGAUGGAUCCGCGCCGCAUUAGCUAGUUGGUAAGGUAACGGCUUACCAAGGCGACGAUGCGUAGCCGACCUGAGAGGGUGAUCGGCCACACUGGAACUGAGACACGGUCCAGACUCCUACGGGAGGCAGCAGUAGGGAAUCUUCCGCAAUGGGCGAAAGCCUGACGGAGCAACGCCGCGUGAGUGAUGAAGGUCUUCGGAUCGUAAAACUCUGUUAUUAGGGAAGAACAAAUGUGUAAGUAACUAUGCACGUCUUGACGGUACCUAAUCAGAAAGCCACGGCUAACUACGUG
rnacentral:rRNA from 1 species